UACGUAGGGGGCAAGCGUUGUCCGGAUUUAUUGGGCGUAAAGAGCGUGUAGGCGGCCAUACAGGUCCGUUGUGAAAACUGGAGGCUUAACCUCCAGACGUCGAUGGAAACCGUAUGGCUAGAGUCCGGAAGAGGAGAAUGGAAUUCCUGGUGUAGCGGUGAAAUGCGCAGAUAUCAGGAGGAACACCAACGGCGAAGGCAGCUCGCUGGGACGGUACUGACGCUGAGGCGCGAAAGCGUGGGGAGCGAACAGG
rnacentral:rRNA from 1 species